rnacentral:rRNA from 1 species
GGUGGUUUGUCGCGUUGUUCGUGAAAUCUCACGGCUUAACUGUGAGCGUGCGGGCGAUACGGGCAGACUUGAGUACUGCAGGGGAGACUGGAAUUCCUGGUGUAGCGGUGGAAUGCGCAGAUAUCAGGAGGAACACCGGUGGCGAAGGCGGGUCUCUGGGCAGUAACUGACGCUGAGGAGCGAAAGCGUGGGGAGCGAACAGGAUUAGAUACCCUGGUAGUCCACGCCGUAAACGGUGGGUACUAGGUGUGGGUUUCCUUCCUUGGGAUCCGUGCCGUAGCUAACGCAUUAAGUACCCCGCCUGGGGAGUACGGCCGCAAGGCUAAAACUCAAAGAAAUUGACGGGGGCCCGCACAAGCGGCGGAGCAUGUGGAUUAAUUCGAUGCAACGCGAAGAACCUUACCUGGGUUUGACAUGCACAGGACGCCGGCAGAGAUGUCGGUUCCCUUGUGGCCUGUGUGCAGGUGGUGCAUGGCUGUCGUCAGCUCGUGUCGUGAGAUGUUGGGUUAAGUCCCGCAACGAGCGCAACCCUUGUCUCAUGUUGCCAGCGGGUAAUGCCGGGGACUCGUGAGAGACUGCCGGGGUCAACUCGGAGGAAGGUGGGGAUGACGUCAAGUCAUCAUGCCCCUUAUGUCCAGGGCUUCACACAUGCUACAAUGGCCGGUACAAAGGGCUGCGAUGCCGCGAGGUUAAGCGAAUCCUUUUAAAGCCGGUCUCAGUUCGGAUCGGGGUCUGCAACUCGACCCCGUGAAGUCGGAGUCGCUAGU